GGCUAUAUAAGGUUUACUGUCCUGCACUGUGGAGGAGGGCUAGUGUGCUGUCAAGAAGGCGAACCUCCAAACCCUUGAGAACAUUGCAGGACGAAAGCUCAGCGCCAACUGGAAGACAAGAAGCUUUGCAAAGACCAGCAAGGCCCUCAGACUGGUGAAUUAGAGCAUUGGUUUUGACAUGAGGCAACUGAUAUUUCCAGGAAACAGCCCAUUCUUUCGGACUAACCUCAGUGCCGGAGCUUUGUAGAUGAGCAGCAAUGUAACCACAGGUAAAGGAGGUAAAAUUCGGGGAAUUUAAGGAGCGUCCGUUUUCUCGAGAGUUUCCUGACGACACCCAGAUCACGAUUUGGUAACCGGACUGAGCUUUCAAAGCACAAGAUGAAAAGGCCAGGAACAGCUUCUGACCUGGCUCAGUCACACCCCCGUUAAUAUUGAAGGGUUCAUUCAGCUUGCCCACUUGUCCCUUCCACCAGGUUUUGGAUUGGUUUCCUGUCACCUUCUAGGUUAGGGUUGCCAAUGCGUCAGGCGACACCCUCCGGCCACUUGGUGACCUCUGCCAGAGGCCUCUACAUAGAAGCAGAGAGGAGGCCCCUUGAACCUGUUCCACCCACCAUCCAUCUCCAUCAACCCACCUUGGCUUUGUAACCCAAAAUACCUUUGCUUGCCAAACAAAAAUCUGCCGAUCUCAGUUUUGACAUUUUCAAUUGACCCCAGAGAUUUUUGGGGAAGAGAGUUCCAAAUUUCCUCUGCUCCCUAACCCAAACCUGGUUUCCCCCUCCCUGUCAUUGGCAUUUAGCUUUGCCCAAAGCCUCAACUACUCCAAGUGGUAAUGAAUGCCACAUCCUCACCUCCUUCUGAGUUACCACCUGGAUUUCCUAUUCAGUUUGUCAGUGUCUAUCUUAUAUUUGUGGCCUUGAGUUCUGUUCUUCACCACUAUCUCCUCUAUCAAACCCUUGCAUAAUCUUAAAUACCUCUAUCAGGCCUGCUGUCAGCCUUCCAUUUUCGAGAGAAAAGGGACCCAGCCUGUGUUAAGUUCACUAAUCUCAAGUACAAACAGGGGUAGGGGCCUGGGCUAGAGAGGUGGGGGAAAUCAUCAGUCCCAGGCUCCUGCUCCUCACUAGAAUUGAAUGGAUAUACCUCCCCUGCCUUCAAACCAAUCAGGAAAAGCAUGUUUGUGGCUAUCGGGCGAAGACUUGAUUUGGACUCAGCCACAACGACAGUCUGGUAGCCGUGUGACCCAGUUACUGAGGGCAAACCAACAUCCGAGGAGCCACUUCAGCACUUGCAAGAGAAACCUGGGAGGAAGCACCAGUUGAAGUAAAUACUUUCUGGGUUGCACACAGCAGUGUCCUAGAGAUUGAUCUUGAAUUCCUGGAGAAUCCAGGCCAACCCUGGAGGGUUGGUGACCUGAAAAUCCUCUGCAGACCGACACUCAUGUGGCUUCGUUUUGCUCUCUUGACCUGCCUGAGAGUGUGCUGGAGGCAGAGUCAAUCGUGCCUUUCAAAAGGGAAUUGGAUAAGCACCUGAAGUGAAGAAAAAAAUGUGCAGGACCAGGAAGAAGAGGCAAGAGAGUGUGACAAGUGCUUGCAAUCUACCAAAAUACAAGAUGAUUUGGAAGAUGAAGAGGCAAUGGUCUGACGGUAAUAUGGGAUAUUGGAGAUUUGAGCUCCACAACAUGUACCCCGUGGCAUUACAGUUCAGCCGUGAGUUAGAAUGGUGGUUUUCAAACUGAACAUCUGCGGAUCACUUAGCCGGGACAAAAGGACCCUUACCGGCCCUCCCACAACCACUUACGUUUAGCACCGCAAAAAAAAACAUUGGAACCUGUGGAAGAACGGUGGCUGCUUCUGAUGAGGUGAUGUCCGGUUCCCAGCUCCAGUCUCCCACUGGGCUCCGCAUUCAAUCCACCAAGUGUUGAAAACCCCCACCUCUUGAUGUUUAUGUUGUAAGGGGCGACGCGAAAUCUUACUUAUCUUGUUGUCACUUGUGCCAUACAGGCGGGAGGUUGCCUGGCUGUGCGACCUCACAUGAGUAGCGGGGAUAUGUGGGUAAUGUUCUCUCGUAUAAUCUCGGUUGUGGCAUCUCAUUUUGGAGCAGCCCCGCGUGAAGCAGCAGUGGCCCUCAGACCUCACUUUGAGAACCAGUGGAUCAGGAGGUCUAGAAGAUGACUAGGAUGAUGAAGGCCCAUUGGCUCAUCCACCUAUCACCCUCCUCAUCGUUGCUUCCCUCACUGACAAGAAGCCCAUUGGGUGUUUGGAUUCUUUACAUGAGGAACUUUGUGCUGUUUUAAAUUUGAUUUUAAUGAAUUUGUCAAUACAUUAAUAAAUUAAUUCAUGCAUAAAUUAAUAAUUGAUAAUAAAUUUGUCUUUCCCCAGUUUGAGUUUGUCACUGGCCGCUUGUCCACCAAAGUGGAUUGUUGUGCUCUAUGUAAACAGCUUGAGUUACCUUUGAGUGUCUCCCAUGGUCCUGUAUUGAAGAACGCAAUAAAAUGUUUCUGAAAAUGA